rnacentral:misc_RNA from 1 species
UGGCUGACUGCUGGCUGUUGGCUUUAAAAAGAAACUCUAACUUUUUUCCCCUGUGCCUGGACUCCAUGGCGCAUGCCUUUCUGCGCCUUGGUGAGGUGCCGCGCCUUUCCUUUCGUCGGGCAAUGCUGCUUGUGCCUGGUGCACCCUGCGCUUGAGGUGUGCCUAUAACAAUGGUUCAAACAUCAGCUUGGCUUCUAGGUAUUUGUGAUAAAUGUGAUAGGAACAGUAGCUGGAAGGCUGGUGCCCACAGAGAAUAAAAAAAACUAAAGAAAGCACUGCCUACAUGUGUUUUUUAUUAGCUGCAUUAUUGAGGUGACGUAUCGUUAUUUAAUGGUAAAUAACAGCUGUUACUGUUAAGUAAUGGUGGUAAUGGCCGUUACCAAUGUAACUCAGGAUCUGCCUUUAAAUAACAAGGUAACGGGUAAUGGCCUCUUAAAAAACUUAUUAAUAAUCGUCGUUACAUAAAACCAUGUUUACAGCUGCAGUUUUAAAAUCCUUUAAAUAAUGGUAGUAAUGGUGAUGCCAGGCUAAAAUUCCUUUAAAUAACGUAACUGCUGUUGUUUAAAAAUCAUGAUUAGUACUAGGAUUAUUAAUUCCAAAAUAACAAAAUGCUAAGCUAAUCUAAUUAGGAAAAUAGCAAGCCUAAUAUAUUUAAAUAUUCCUAAAUGCUAGAAAUCUAAACUUUCCAAUUGUACUAGAAAAUCUGAACUA